UACGAGGGGUGCAAGCGUUGCUCGGAAUUAUUGGGCGUAAAGGGUAGGUAGGUGGUCCGAUUUGUCGGGGGGUGAAAGCCUUGGGCUUAACUCAAGAAGUGCCCCCGAAACGGUCGGACGUGGAGUCCUGGAGAGGUAAGUGGAAUUCCCGGUGUAGCGGUGAAAUGGCGUAGAGAGUCGGGGAGGAACACCAGAGGCGAAGGCGGCUUACUGGACAGGCACUGACACGUGAGGCGCGAAAGCGGUGGGGAGCAAACAGG
rnacentral:rRNA from 1 species